rnacentral:rRNA from 1 species
UACGUAGGGGGCAAGCGUUGUCCGGAAUCAUUGGGCGUAAAGAGCGUGUAGGCGGCUUGGCAAGUCUGACGUGAAAGCCCGCGGCUCAACCGCGGAUUGUCGUUGGAAACUGCCAGGCUAGAGUCCGGAAGAGGAGAGCGGAAUUCCUGGUGUAGCGGUGGAAUGCGCAGAUAUCAGGAAGAACACCCGUGGCGAAGGCGGCUCUCUGGGACGGUACUGACGCUGAGACGCGAAAGCGUGGGGAGCGAACAGG